GCGGGAAUAGCUCAGUUGGUAGAGCACAACCCUUCCAAGGUUGGGGUCGCGAGUUCGAGCCUCGUUUCCCGCUCAA
rnacentral:tRNA from 2 species